UACGUAGGGUGCGAGCGUUGUCCGGAAUUACUGGGCGUAAAGCGUGCGUAGACGGUUAUGUAAGUCAGGUGUGAAAGCCCCGGGCUCAACCUGGGAAUGGCAUUUGAGACUGCAUAGCUAGGGUGCGGAAGAGGGAAGCGGAAUUUCCGGUGUAGCGGUGAAAUGCGUAGAUAUCGGAAGGAACAUCAGUGGCGAAAGCGGCUUCCUGGUCCAGCACCGACGUCAGGCACGAAAGCGUGGGGAGCAAACAGG
rnacentral:rRNA from 1 species